rnacentral:rRNA from 1 species
GUCCACGCCCUAACGAUGCAUAUUUGGUGUGGGCAGUUCAUUCUGUCCGUGCCGGAGCUAACGCGUUAAAUAUGCCGCCUGGGGAGUACAGUCGCAAGGCUGAAACUCAAAGGAAUUGACGGGGGCCCGCACAAGCGGUGGAGCAUGUGGUUCAAUUCGACGCAACGCGAAGAACCUUACCUGGGCUCGAACGGCUGGUCAACGACGGUGGAAACAUCGUUACUCCGCAAGGGGGUCCAGUCGAGGUGCUGCAUGGCUGUCGU